GACAGAAAGGGCGACCCAUCGGAGUUUUAAAUCGGUGUAAAGGAUACGUAGCCGGCCUCUUUAGCGUUAUACAUUUUAGCGAUUUUUUCGGUAUUUUUUUUUUACCGUUUUUUUUUUUUUUUAUUUUUUAAUUAAAAAUAAUACGUAAUAAAGCAAAAAAAAAUAUAGAAAAACGAGAAAAAAAAAAAACGCUAAUAAGGAAAGGCUAAGGAAGGUCAAAUAGAAAGAAUUAAACAAAUUAACCUACGAGUAGGGCUGAGUAUCUUAUUGA
rnacentral:rRNA from 1 species